UAGGGAAUCUUCCGCAAUGGACGAAAGUCUGACGGAGCAACGCCGCGUGAGUGAUGAAGGUUUUCGGAUCGUAAAACUCUGUUAUUAGGGAAGAAUAAAUGCGUAAGUAACUGUGCGCAUCUUGACGGUACCUAAUCAGAAAGCCACGGCUCACUACGUGCCAGCAGCCGCGGUAAUACGUAGGUGGCAAGCGUUAUCCGGAAUUAUUGGGCGUAAAGCGCGCGUAGGCGGUUUCUUAAGUCUGAUGUGAAAGCCCACGGCUCAACCGUGGAGGGUCAUUGGAAACUGGGAAACUUGAGUACAGAAGAGGAAAGUGGAAUUCCAUGUGUAGCGGUGAAAUGCGCAGAGAUAUGGAGGAACACCAGUGGCGAAGGCGACUUUCUGGUCUGUAACUGACGCUGAUGUGCGAAAGCGUGGGGAUCAAACA
rnacentral:rRNA from 1 species